rnacentral:rRNA from 1 species
UAGGGAAUCUUCGGCAAUGGACGAAAGUCUGACCGAGCAACGCCGCGUGAGUGAAGAAGGUUUUCGGAUCGUAAAACUCUGUUGUUAGAGAAGAACAAGGACGUUAGUAACUGAACGUCCCCUGACGGUAUCUAACCAGAAAGCCACGGCUAACUACGUGCCAGCAGCCGCGGUAAUACGUAGGUGGCAAGCGUUGUCCGGAUUUAUUGGGCGUAAAGCGAGCGCAGGCGGUUUCUUAAGUCUGAUGUGAAAGCCCCCGGCUCAACCGGGGAGGGUCAUUGGAAACUGGGAGACUUGAGUGCAGAAGAGGAGAGUGGAAUUCCAUGUGUAGCGGUGAAAUGCGUAGGUAUAUGGAGGAACACCAGUGACGAAGGCGGCUCUCUGGUCUGUAACUGACGCUGAGGCUCGAAAGCGUGGGGAGCAAACAGG